AGUGAACGCUGGCGGUAGGCCUAACACAUGCAAGUCGAACGGCAGCACAGUAAGAGCUUGCUCUUACGGGUGGCGAGUGGCGGACGGGUGAGGAAUACAUCGGAAUCUACUUUUUCGUGGGGGAUAACGUAGGGAAACUUACGCUAAUACCGCAUACGACCUACGGGUGAAAGCAGGGGAUCUUCGGACCUUGCGCGAUUGAAUGAGCCGAUGUCGGAUUAGCUAGUUGGCGGGGUAAAGGCCCACCAAGGCGACGAUCCGUAGCUGGUCUGAGAGGGUGAUCAGCCACACUGGAACUGAGACACGGCCCAGGCUCCUACGGGAGGCAGCAGUGGGGAAUCUUGGACAAUGGGCGCAAGCCUGAUCCAGCCAUACCGCGUGAGUGAAGAAGGCCUUCGGGUUGUAAAGCCCUUUUGUUGGGAAAGAAAAGCAGCAGGUUAAUACCCCGCUGUUCUGACGGUACCCAAAGAAUAAGCACCGGCUAACUUCGUG
rnacentral:rRNA from 1 species